rnacentral:lncRNA from 1 species
GCAGACAGAUGGAGCUUUGAGACCUGGAGGGAGGGUCUAUAGCUUUCAAACCCCUGAUUCCGUUUGUUCGUGAGAUUCUGCAGGAUCCCGCCCUUGUCUGACUGUUCAACUCUGUACUAAUUGUGAAAGUUGGUAAAUGAUCCCUCUAGCCAAUAGCUUGCUAGGGUUAACUUUCUGCCACUUGCAACUACAUUGAUAUAGUCACCAAAGUGUUUACUUAGAUCAAUGUUCUCCCCAGCAAAGACAGAAAUAGCAAACUGAUAAAAACUUUAUUACUGGCAUAAAUGUAUAGUGGCCUUACCUUUGCAAAAACACUUCACUUGGAUAGUCCAACACGACUUAACAGUUUAUUUUUGUUCUCUGGGUUUUAAUUUCCUCAUCAAUGAAAUGGUAGGGUUGAGCUAGAUCAGAAGAACUAAGGGAGCCCCAUGGACCACCUAGCCGCACCGCAGUGAGUGUGCGCUCAUUCUGACAUUCUUUCCCAAGGACUUUCAGUUCUGCUUCAGAAGACUUCUCUCCGCAGUAUGCGGGGUGGAAUUUACUUUUCGUUCCUGAACCUUAAAUGAUCUCGAAAUGCCAUUAUAACCUUGCUAACAAUGUAGUGAAUUAGACCAGGCAAGUAACUGAUUCCCAUUACAUGAGUAAGGAAAUUGAGUCACAGAGAAACUUGUAGUUUAGAUAAACCUGUUCAGCUUCUUUUUAACCCUCUUUCCCCUCUUCAUGUGUACCUGGGGAGGUGGAAGGAGGAUGAAAGACUGUGGCUGUUCUUUAGUAGUUUCUUUCCUUGGAAAAAGAACAGGGUGGGGCAUGCCACUGCUCUCGAAGGCUUCUGUACUCUUGCAUCGGAAAUCAUCUCCUUUUCUUCUCCAUCCCUUUGUCUCUCCUAACUUAUUGCAUCACAUCAGCACCAGCUGGCUGUACCCCAUAUUAGAGGAAGAUGGGGCCCAGCCAAUGAUUGCUUCUCUGAACUAAGCUGUACCCUGGUUAUGCUGGAACUCAACCUCACCUGUAUACGGGUGAACCAUAAGAUGGUCCUUGCUACAUCACUAGCCUUCCCUUAUCUAGCAAGAAAAACCUGCUCUUGAUAGUCUGCUGAAUAGUGACUGAGAUGACUGGCAGUAAAAUAGGAGACUUUUCAAGUGGAUGAAAGUUAAAUUCAAUAGGUGAUGCUGUGAACCCUCCCCAAGGGAGGUACCAAAAGCCUGCAUGAAGCAAAAACUGGAAACAAAUAAAGGAGAGUAUGGUGACUUUGCACUAAGUUACUCAUUUAUUCACAUAAUUAAUGAGUUUCUAUUAGUGUUAGGCACCGUUCUAGAUGAUGGUAUAAUUAGUUAACAAAAACCUCAAAACUCUCGCCCCCCAUGGAGCUUACAUUUCCAGGGAGGGAGAGAGAUGAUACAACAAUAAGAAAAUACAGAGCUAAUGUCAUUCUAUAUUGUAUAAUUAUGUAAAAUCAAGCCUGAGUAUUUGACAGCUUCUCAGAUACCACAGAUCUGUUGUUUAAUGAAAUCAGCCUAAAAGAUAAAAUUGUGUAUUUGCAUGUACACAUCACCUUGCCUGUAUUAUGAGUCAGCGUUUCUUCUUAUAAGAAACCACAGCUUGGUAAAAGGUAGAAGCUCAAUUUCCUAAUAAAGAGAUAUGUUUUACUAGGCAGGCUGUUGCACUGCAUAUUACUCUCUCUGACCUUGGCUUUAGUCCAAGGAGGAUUAAACCCAGAAAGAGAAGGGAGUAAAGCAAGGUGUAGCAGAAAAGCAAAACAAAACAAUACAAAAUAACCUCAAAGAAAUUAGUAACAAUAAUUAGUGCAUUCAGAGAUUAUAUCUUUCUUUCUUUUUUUCCUUUUUUUUUUUCUUUCGAGACGGAGUUUUGCUCUUGUUGCCCAGGCUGGAGUG